UGCAGUCACGGUUCUAACCUGGUUCUUCUCACGGCUGGUAUCCUCUGACCUUUUAUGUCCUGGCAAUGACUUCUAUGCAUUUUGGCAGUAACUGUCUGAAUCUCUGAUUCAACCCUGAUCGCAGCCUCUCGGUCUUUCUCUCUCCUUUAAUUCUUUCCUCGGAUGGCCGCGGCUUCUGCCGCCUCUACCCUUCCUGGAGCAACCCGUGCUUUUGAAAAAUGGCCAUGCCGAAGGGGAACUAACACUCCCAGCCCGGAGCAGGUCUUGUCAAUCUGAUUUUUAAAUGAUGGAGGAGGAGAUUUGAGGACAAAGCUCAUGGUGGCAUUACCGCUAUCAGGGACGCUGCAAAGACCAAGUGAAAAGGGCGAAAGGCUCUUCUGAAUGUGAGCACAUUCACAGACUCUGAGGACAGAGAGGUAUUUAAAGUGAACUGGAACAAACCUGCAACAUCCGGUGCGUUCUGCCUUCAAAAAUAGCUGCCAGUUAGAAAGGGUUAUUUACAUAUUGAUUUCAUGCUAACUUUGUAAUGGAAUGUGCUGCCUGCCUGCCUGCCUGGGACCUAACAACUGUCAUCAUAAUUUUUUCUAAAAAUACAGUCAGAGAAAAACACUCAUUGAACCCUCCACCGGAAAGUGACUGCAAAAGACCCCCGAUCCCAAACCUGCUUGACAGACCACCGCCAAGGGCAGGGACACUCAACCACUGUAACCGAGAAACAUAUCACAGCGGCAGCUGGCCCCUCCCUUCUUCCAACCAGCCAAUAUUUUUUGUCUUUCUAGAAAACCUGUCUUGUUCAAAGGCCUGAUGGAGCUGAUUCGGUUGUGAUCCUGGGCAUAUGGAUGGCAUAUUUGCUGCGAGCUAGCCGGCCCCCGCUGUUGCGGACAAAUCUUUCAUUCAUAACAGGGGCUUGUUAGGCCAACUCCGGACUCUAAAGCCACUUAAUUAAAUUGUGGAAAGU